rnacentral:sRNA from 1 species
UCAUAUAUAAAGAUUAAAUAACGCUGUC